rnacentral:rRNA from 1 species
CACGUAGGAGGCAAACGUUAUCCGGAUUUACUGGGCGUAAAGCGCGUGUAGGUGGUUCUGUAAGUAGGGCGUGAAAGCUCCCGGCUCAACUGGGAGAGGCCGUUCUAAACUGCAGAGCUAGAGGAUGGUAGAGGGAGGUGGAAUUCCAGGUGUAGCGGUGGAAUGCGCAGAUAUCUGGAGGAACACCAGUGGCGAAGGCGGCCACCUGGACCAUUCCUGACACUCAGACGCGAAAGCUAGGGUAGCAAACGGGAUUAGAUACCCCGGUAGUCCCU